UGAGGAAUAUUGGGUCAAUGGCCGAGAGGCUGAACCAGCCAAGUCGCGUGAAGGAAGAAGGAUCUAUGGUUUGUAAACUUCUUUUAUACGGGAAUAAAGUGUGGAACGUGUUCCAUUUUGUAUGUACCGUAUGAAUAAGCAUCGGCUAACUCCGUGCCAGCAGCCGCGGUAAUACGGAGGAUGCGAGCGUUAUCCGGAUUUAUUGGGUUUAAAGGGUGCGUAGGUGGUCUUUUAAGUCAGCGGUGAAAGUUUGUGGCUCAACCAUAAAAUUGCCAUUGAAACUGGGAGACUUGAGUAUGUUUGAGGUAGGCGGAAUGCGUGGUGUAGCGGUGAAAUGCAUAGAUAUCACGCAGAACUCCGAUUGCGAAGGCAGCUU
rnacentral:rRNA from 1 species